CCUACGGGAGGCAGCAGUAGGGAAUAUUGCUCAAUGGGGGAAACCCUGAAGCAGCAACGCCGCGUGGAGGAUGAAGGUUUUCGGAUUGUAAACUCCUUUUGUUAGAGAAGAUAAUGACGGUAUCUAACGAAUAAGCACCGGCUAACUCCGUGCCAGCAGCCGCGGUAAUACGGAGGGUGCAAGCGUUACUCGGAAUCACGGGGCGUAAAGAGCGCGGAGGCGGGAUAGCAAGUCAGAUGUGAAAUCCUAUGGCUUAACCAUAGAACUGCAGUUGAAACUGUUAUUCUAGAGUAUGGGAGAGGUAUGUGGUAUUCUUGUUGUAGGGGUCAACUCCGUCGAGUUCACGAGGAAUCCUCAU
rnacentral:rRNA from 1 species